rnacentral:rRNA from 1 species
UGCAGUCGAACGGAAGUCGUUAUAAAAAGGAUUGAAGAUUUAUCUGAUUGAGAUUUUAUAACAAUGGCUUUAGUGGCGGACUGGUGAGUAACGCGUGAGCAACCUGCCUACUAGAGGGGAAUAACAGUGAGAAAUUACUGCUAAUACCGCAUAUGCCAUGAACAUCACAUGAUGAAAAUGGGAAAAGAGUAAUCUGCUAGUAGAUGGGCUCGCGUCUGAUUAGAUAGUUGGUGGGGCAACGGCCUACCAAGUCGACGAUCAGUAGCCGGACUGAGAGGUUGAACGGCCACAUUGGGACUGAGAUACGGCCCAGACUCCUACGGAAGGCAGCAGUCGGGAAUAUUGCGCAAUGGAGGAAACUCUGACGCAGUGACGCCGCGUAUAGGAAGAAGGUUUUCGGAUUGUAAACUAUUGUCGUUAGGGAAGAUAAAAGACAGUACCUAAGGAGGAAGCUCCGGCUAACUACGUGCCAGCAGCCGCGGUAAUACGUAGGGAGCAAGCGUUAUCCGGAUUUAUUGGGUGUAAAGGGUGCGUAGACGGGUUAGCAAGUUAGUUGUGAAAGCCCUCGGCUUAACUGAGGAACUGCAACUAAAACUGUUAAUCUUGAGUGUUGGAGAGGAAAGUGGAAUUCCUAGUGUAGCGGUGAAAUGCGUAGAUAUUAGGAGGAACACCGGUGGCGAAGGCGACUUUCUGGACAAUAACUGACGUUGAGGCACGAAAGUGUGGGG